rnacentral:tRNA from 1 species
GACUCUAUGGUGCAGGACUGAUAUGUCUACUUUACAUGCAGAAGGUCCUGGGUUCGAGUCCCAGUGGAGCCA